rnacentral:rRNA from 1 species
UUUAAAUUGCUGUGGUAUUUUGACUAUACAAAGGUAUUGAAAUAAGAUUUUAAUUGAAUGCUAAGAGAAUGGAAUUUCAGAAAAAAACUUUUUUUAAAUUAAAAAUUGAAAUUUUUUUAAUUUGUGCAGAAACAAUUAUUAACAUUAAGGACAAGAAGGCCCUAUGAAUUUUUGAAAUUUUUAAUAAUAGUAAUUUAUUAUUAUUAAAAAUUUUAGCUGGGGCGGCUAAAAAAUAUAAUUAACUUUUUAAAAAUAAAACGAUCCACUAAUAAUGAUUACAUGUUAAAUACUCUAGGGAUAACAGCGUUAUAUUUUUUGAUAGACCAUAUUGACAAAAAAGUUUGCGACCUCGAUGUUGGAUUAGGAUACUUUUUUAAUGAAGAUAUUAAAAAAAGAAGUUUGUUCAACUUUUA